GAGUGAAGUCAUCUAUAUAAAUGUAUCAUUUGCAUUGAAGGUUGGCCAUAACAGUAAGGAUAUUUUCCCUGCCUGUCAAAAUUCUCUGUUUUGAUUGUGGCUUCGAACAAGCAGGUUCAUU